rnacentral:rRNA from 1 species
AGUGAACGCUGGCGGUAGGCCUAACACAUGCAAGUCGAACGGCAGCACAGUCUGAGCUUUGCCUUCCGGGGGCCGAGUGGUGGGCAAGUCAGGAGUACCUGGGCAUCUACUGUUUAGAAGGGGGUGACGCAGGGAAACAUACGCCAUUCCAGCUUACGACGUACGCGUGAGAGCGGGGGAUCUUCGGCCAUUGCGCGAUCGGAUGUGCCGAUGUCGGAUUAGCUAGUUGGCGGGGUAAAGGCCCACCAAGGCGACGAUCGGUAGCUGGUCUGAGAGGAUGAUCAGCCACACUGGAACUGAGACACGGUCCAGACUCCUACGGGAGGCAGCAGUGGGGAAUAUUGGACAAUGGGCGCAAGCCUGAUCUAGCCAUGCCGCGUGGGUGAAGAAGGCCUUCGGGUUGUAAAGCCCUUUUGUUGGGGAAGAAAAGGAGCAGGUUAAUACCCCGCGGGUCUGACGGUACCCGAAGAAUAAGCACCGGCUAACUUCGUG